AUUGAACGCUGGCGGCAGGCCUAACACAUGCAAGUCGAACGAGUGGCGGACGGGUGAGUAAUGUCUGGGGAACUUCCCGAUGGCGGGGGAUAACUACUGUAAACGGUAGCUAAUACCGCAUACCAUCGGAUGUGCCCAGAUGGGAUUAGCUAGUAGGUGGGGUAACGGCUCACCUAGGCGACGAUCCCUAGCUGGUCUGAGAGGAUGACCAGCCACACUGGAACUGAGACACGGUCCAGACUCCUACGGGAGGCAGCAGUGGGGAAUAUUGCACAAUGGGCGCAAGCCUGAUGCAGCCAUGCCGCGUGUAUGAAGAAGGCCUUCGGGUUGUAAAGUACUUUCAGCGAGGAGGCGUUACUCGCAGAAGAAGCACCGGCUAACUCCGUGCCAGCAGCCGCGGUAAUUC
rnacentral:rRNA from 1 species